rnacentral:lncRNA from 1 species
AAGGUACUUAUUAUGGACACAUGAAUUGUUAGAUUUAAAACCAAAAAAUGAAAUGAUUAGGGAAUUUAGAUUCAGGAAAAAAAAACCUUUAAUAUAUAGGAAGAAGGUUAUUAUUUGAGAAUAUAUAGGUUACUAAGUACUAUAUGUUACUAUUUGAAAGAAGGUUACUAUUUGUAAUUUGGGACAAAUGAGUGCUAUUUGGGACAUAUGAGUACUAUUCAAAAUAUAGGUAUAGGUAGGAGGAAUGAUUGCAUGAUAAGAAUUUUGUGAAGGACAUGAUAGCAAGUUCCAAGAAUACAUGCAAUCAAUAUAGAAUUGAUAAAGAAGUCAUGCCAAUAGAAUUCAUAACAAUGAAAUCAUUGCAUCAUGUGAAUGACACAUAAACAUCUAACAUAUGAAAGCUGAGAAAGUAAAGGAACAAAAGACAACAUGUUGUCUACAAAUUUUAGGGAAUGAACAUAGUGAAAAAAAUUUAGUAUAAAUUGCUAAACAUAAAUUCAAAUUAAAAAAUGCUACAUAAAAAAAAUAGCUAAUUACUUAAAAGAAAAUGUAUAAUAUAAUUUAUUAAUCAUAAGUUACAAUGAUGGUAAAAUUAGUGUGUGAAUGUAGUUUUAGGAGGAGUUGGUUUACAUAGGGUUGAUGAAUUCAUCUAUGAAGACACUUAUUCAUUGACAUACAUGCAUGAUGCCACUUGUCUCUUCACUUCUUUACACAUGUCACAUGAAGCAAGAAAUAGAGAUAAUAGGUAUAAUCAUGAUAUGAUAGCUAGUAAUAGGGAUAAUCAUGAUAGAAAUAGCUAGUAAUAAAUAUAAUGAUGAUAGAGAAGCAAUGAUGGCAUCAUGUGAUCAUGAAAGGAAGGUUGCAUGUGAUGUUAGAAAGAUGUGGUAGAUUAGUCAUAAGUUAUUAAUUUAUUAAUGAUAAGUUACAAUGAUGGUAAAAUUAGUGUGUGGAUGUAGUUUUAGGAGGAGCUGGUUUACAUAGGGUUAAUGAAUUCAUCUAUGAAGACACUUAUUCAUUGGCAUACAUGCAUGAUGCC